UUUUCAGAGAGUUUUUUUUCUUUUUUUUUUUUUUUUUUGCCCUGAAGUAUUAGAUGGUCAGUGUGGAAAAUAAGCAUUACAGAGAGAAGUACAAAGGGGGAAAAAUGACAUUCAUCAUCCUAAAACUCAAAAACAACCCCUAUUAACAUUAGCUUCAUUUCCCCCCAGAUUUUCAUAUAACAUUACUCUAAUAGUACCCUUUAUUAUUUGUUUCAUGUUAUAAGUUCUCUUUAUAUUCAUAGUUUUGUUUUGUUUUGUUUUGUUUUGUUUUGGUUAUAUAGCAGUCCAUUAUAUCUCUAGCAUGGCUUCUUUAAGCAUUCUUAUACUGCCCAAAAUGUUAGAUUAUUUCUAAUUUGCAAUAUUAUAAAUAAUGACUUAAUGAGCGCCUUUAUGUGUAAAUCUUUUCCAGACUUUUUAUUUCCUUAAAUUCCCAGAAAUGAAAUUACAGAUCAAAAUAUAUGAACUUUUAAAGACUAUUGACAUAUACUGCCAGGUCUUGGAUUAUUCACUGAGAUCAAAGUUAAAUGGGAAGGCGCUGUAUUCUAGGAAACCACACUUAAAGGCCAUUGUGCUCCUUAUAUGAACUGACUAUUAUUAAUUUUGAUGAGCCAUUUGCAUUCCUCCUUUGUUACCUAAAACAGUAUCUGUUGAGUUUUACCUAAAAGUGUCUUGAUUGAUCGACAGAGCAAUUAUAGUUUCUCCAAUGAAGGUUUGCAAAACCAGUAUAUUCACUGGAAAUGAGUCUUGUGCAUUCAUGCUUGGAUUGUGUGUGACUUCUCAGAUUUAGGAUACUGAUUAGGAUAAAAGACCCCUUUUGUAAAUGAUAGUAGGCUUUUUUGGUUUUUUUGGUGCUAUUUAAGUGAGGAAUUUUAGUGUUUUAUAUUUGUCAACAGCAUGUGCAACUAUAUGAGUGAGUGGGAUGAGGGAUUAAUAAGAAAAUCUUGAAGCCAACCUAUUUUUAUGUGUUUUCUAGUUUAUAGAAUAUCAUUCUAUUUUCAUUUUAUUCUUAUAACAGUUUUUUUUUUCAGCAGGCAAAUUUUUGUUACCUAGAAAUAAAAUUUCUGUAAUGCUUCAGUGAUCAUAAACCUUCAGGUUUAGAGGGAAGUAUUUUUGAUGAUAAAUUAGCCAUUUUCCAUAGCCAAGAAUUUGAUCACAACUAUUAAAUGCCAUUAAAUUAAAUGGCAUAUAGUAAUCUGCCAUUAUAAUAAUUAAAGAAUACAUAUUUCACCAAGUUAUAUUUAAGUCUGUUCAAUUCUAUUAUUUGUUUGUCUCUAGGUUCAAUCAAAAAUUAAAGUAAAAUAAUAUAAUACUCAGGAUAUUGUACUGGUUAAUACCCUCAGAUAUAUUCCCCCUUAUCCACCUUUUCUGUAUCUCAGGACAUUCCCCAGUGUCCCAUGCCCAUUGGUGUUUCAGUCAAAGGCAGUGUUAUGGACUGAAUGUUUGUGUCUCCUCAAAAUUUAUAACUGAAGCCCUGACCCAAACGUAGCUAGGGUUGGAGAUAGACCCUCAAAGGAGAUAAUCAAGGUUAAGUGAGGUCAUAAGGGUGGGGCCUUGAUGUGAUAGGAUUAGUGUCUUUUAUAAGCAGGAGGCACUGGAGAGCUCUUUCUUGUUUUUUUCUCCCUCUCUCCCUCUCUUUCUCUCUCAUUCUUCAUGCCUAGAGGAAAGGCCAUGUGAGGACAGAGCAAGAAAGUGGUCAUCUACCAGCCAUCUACCAGUAACUCACCAGGAAUACUGAUCUUGGACUUCUGGACUCCAGAACUGUGAGAAAACUGGCUGCUUUGUAAGCCACCCAGUCUAUGAUGAUUUGUUAUGGCCGCCCAAGGGGACUUAUACAGACAGGCACUGGCCAAAGAUUAAAGGACAGAAGACGGAAGAGAGAAGUCUGACUGGUUCUGCCCCUUUACUUCUGCAUCUGUGGUGUCUCUAGCAGUGACUGCUUCACUGUAACUUGUUCCCUCACUCUGAGGUGCCAGUUCUGACCGAGAUGUUUCUGCCAUGGCUCUGGCUCCCUCCAGAGAGACAACAUUACCUGCCAUCGUCCCUCCUACCCUUGAGGGAUGACAUAGUGGACAGAAAAGGAAAAAAGAAGAAGUUGAGUUUGAAUUUCACAUGUUUACUCUGCCAGAAAAAAUGGAAAUGACGCAGGCAUGGAGAAGAGAUUUGGAGGAAGGCACAGUAAGGAGGUAGACUGUGGUAUCGUGGAAAGAGACUUUGAAAUUUUGACAGCACACUGGCAAAAACUUCCUACCCUUCACAUCAGGGACUGUGUUCUUUGCAGGGCUAUGCAGAUUCUGAAACACAAUGCUAUAAUUACAGGCCUGGAUUCUGUGUGUGUUCUCAAGCCUUGAGACAUCAAGGAAUGGCAGUGACCGAGGACACCCUGCUUCCUCCAACCACCCCAGUCACAGAGAUUUGUUCAGGGAUAAACACAUGGUCCAAACUGGGCUAGAGUUCGCCCAGGAAGACAGUUUCUUUCUGCUACAGUCAUUAGACGGGGAUGAGGAUACUCAUCUACUCAGAGACUGGAACAAAGCUUUCCUGCAUCAUAGUCCAGUGUGUCUUUCCCUUUCCACUCAAAAUUAGUGCAGGAAGACACAGUCACAGGACUGACUCUGGAUCCAAGGAGAAGUUAGGAUGGUUCAGAAAUCAAUAAUCAAGCACAAGACCUAAGACAGGUGGAUGACCUUUAUAUUUUGACUUCCCUCAAACACCCUUAAGGUGUCCAGAACUCAAGUUCUUAAUACAUUUUCAGAGAGAGUGGCAAGGUCUAUAUUAAAAUCCUAAGAAAAAUAA